rnacentral:rRNA from 1 species
CUACAGAGGGUGCAAGCGUUACUCGGAAUCACUGGGCGUAAAGCGCGCGCAGGCGGGCUGAUAAGUUGGAUGUGAAAGCCUACGGCUCAACCGUAGAACUGCAUCCAAAACUGUCAGUCUAGAGUCUGGGAGGGGAAGAUGGAAUUAGUUGUGUAGGGGUAAAAUCCGUAGAGAUAACUAGGAAUACCAAAAGCGAAGGCGAUCUUCUGGAACAGUACUGACGCUGAGGCGCGAAAGCGUGGGGAGCAAACAGGAUUAGAAACCCCAGUAGUCC